CGGUUGGCUUUAGCUCAGUAGUUACUUCUCUAACAUUCAAAGCUGAAUAAUCCUCUCGGGGGUUCAAAUCGCACGGGUGCUAUCUAAACUUUUU